CACUCCUACGGGAGGCAGCAGUGGGGAAUAUUGGACAAUGGGCGCAAGCCUGAUCCAGCCAUGCCGCGUGAGUGAUGAAGGCCCUAGGGUUGUAAAGCUCUUUCACCGGUGAAGAUAAUGACGGUAACCGGAGAAGAAGCCCCGGCUAACUUCGUGCCAGCAGCCGCGGUAAUACGAAGGGGGCUAGCGUUGUUCGGAUUUACUGGGCGUAAAGCGCACGUAGGCGGACUAUUAAGUCAGGGGUGAAAUCCCGGGGCUCAACCCCGGAACUGCCUUUGAUACUGGUAGUCUUGAGUUCGAGAGAGGUGAGUGGAAUUCCGAGUGUAGAGGUGAAAUUCGUAGAUAUUCGGAGGAACACCAGUGGCGAAGGCGGCUCACUGGCUCGAUACUGACGCUGAGGUGCGAAAGCGUGGGGAGCAAACAGGAUUAGAAACCCGGGUAGUCCC
rnacentral:rRNA from 1 species